CUGCCCAGUGCUCUGAAU
rnacentral:ncRNA from 2 species